UGUGUUAUGCUUUCCGUAAGCUUAAAUGUGCACAAUGUCUUUCCGUUGUCCUCGAACGUAAAGGAUCCUACAAUUGCCGGUCCUUCCCAUUGGGCAGCCUGAAACACUGCUACAUGACUGUUUGCUUUCAUUAGAGAGAAGGGUAGGCCAGUGUGGACUGGAUUCUCUUUCUUUUGUAUGUAACCUGUACUCCCUGUGAAGACUUUCAUAAAAAAUAUUCUGUCCCUCCCCAGAUUUAGAAAUUUUAACAGGAAAUCUCAAAUUGCGUACCACCUCCUUCACUAAUCCCUCCAGCCCUCUGUGAGCUCCUUCAUUCUAUACAAAAACUCCAGUUUUCUCCAGGUCGCAGACUUCUCCUUCUAGCAAUUCGUGGAUUCUGGUUUUAUUUCCAUGUGUUCCUUCUUCUUCUGGAGCGUCCGCCAUUCAGACAGGAACAGAUCGCCUAGAGCGCCUCUCCACAUGUCCUACCUUGUCGGUCACGAUUUCCUUUUCCUCCUAUUUUCACUUCUACCAUGAACUAGUUCCUCCUUUGUGUUUUCCAGAUCCAGAGUCAAGUUUGAGUAGCAUACAGCACUUUUCUCACUUCCUCUCCUGAGUGUUUAGAGCUGUUGGCUGCUGGGGCAAUUUCAUUUGUAUUUCCUAGAUUAUCUUCCCUUUUUGAGGGGUUGGGACAGGCUCCUUGUACUGGCCAGGAGGACGAAGGAAGAAGAUGUCAGAACCAGAUGCCAUUGGACUUCCCUCCGGUGCUGGACAGGUCGGCCAACGGGGCUCUGUCUACUACGGCACAGGGUGGAGGCCUCCCAGUUUUGGGUUUCCAAGGCUCUCCAGGGAAGAAUAGAGCCCAUUCUCUCUCAGCCACACAGAAAAUAAAGGGCCAGCUCAGCCCGACUGCGGUUGUUGUAGAGGACAGCCAGCCUCUGUGAGAUCAGUGGAGCCCCCCACCUCAUGAGGUCACAUGUAGUCAUGACAGCACAAUUAAAGCCUCCAAGACAGGAAAAAAUUGCAUCAGGGACCGAAGAACUUUGGAAUUUUUACUUUUUGAAACACAUUCACUACUAAUUCUGUCAUUGAAGAACCUCAAAAUGUCAAACUGAGCAGACUCCCUCUCUCUCACUACUCUGAAAAACCUGGAAAUGAAAUCCACGUGAGUGAAGCCAGCACAUCUACCCUCGUGGAAGUGGAGGACUUUGGUUCCAAGUGGGCAUCACACUCAGAAGGGAGCAUCAGAUCUGCUGAACACAGACCAGACCCUUGGCCCAGCCCCAUCCCUUCCGGCCAAAGACUAGAUCAAGUUCAUCCGUGUGGCCUAUGAACCCUUCAGGCUCACCAAAGAGACCGCUAAAUACAGGUGGGUCCAUCCAAUGACGAGGAAGGUCACCCGGCAGAUGGAUGAUGUCAAGUAAGCGGCGGUGGGAGCACGAGGUUAGAGGCUAGAAAGAGAGCCCACAAAGGCAUUAAAAAAUCCAAACCCAGCCCCGAGGCUGUGGCCUAGAGAAAUGUGUGCGGUGGCUGAUAAACACGGAUUUCCUGGCGUGGUGCCGUCCGAGGGCAUCUGGGCUUGAACGAAGUCACACCGCUAAGCCCCCUGGGGAGCGAGAAGAAAAGGCUUCGGGGACGUGCUGGCUGGGCUUCUGAGGGACACCACUGCCACCUCGCAGGGCUGUUGUGAGGGCUUGAUGAGUUCACGCACACGGGGCCGAGAACGAGCUCUGCACAUUAUCAGCACCCUGCCGAUGUCGGCUGUUUUUCCGGAGUGACUCUGACACGCAUCCACUCAAAUGAGCUCACAUCUCCCUCGCCAGUGACUCACUUAACGAGAACCAGCUUUGUGGCCAACGUGUGAGGCCACCUGCGCCCUCGCGGCGUCCCAGCUCCGCCCGGCUCGCCGCACAGCCCCACGCUCCCCUCCCCGUGCUUUCCACCGCCAGGUCCUCAGGUCCGGGUCGCACAGUGCGCCGCAUCCCACUUUUUAUCACAGGCUUCCGGACGCACCCAACAGAGAAGACAGAGGGGGUACAGGAAGAAGGAAAGGACAGGAGAGAGAAGUUUCCAUCUAUCAGGAGGAAACCCCAGACGUGCAAAUUGGUCUCUUCGGCCCCAUGAAUUGUCCCACCUCCAGCAUUCGGUCUGGACUCUGAAUGAGGUAAUGCUCCAAUUAGAGGCUGGUGCACUUAAGCUGAGAAAGGCAUGAAGUCGUUUAGGCCACUCGGGCGCAAGAAGGCCAAGGGGGUGGUGCUCACCUUUGUACUCGGCCAGACACACGCACUCGUAGCCAUUAACGAGGUCCCUGCAGGUGGCUGCGUUCAGGCAUGGAGCAGACAGGCACUCGUUGUAUUCCUCCUCGCAGUAGAGGCCGUGGUAACCUGAGGGACGGAGAAAAAGGCCUGCAGUCACACGUGUCCCAAUCACCCCCACACUGGACCAGCCUACAAGAGAGGCGGCUGGGUAUUGAUUGGAAGCAUGGCACGGACAGAUGGGACUUAAGGAUUCGAGUCCCUUGGGGUGUAUGGAAACGUGGGUUCCCGGGAAGAGUUUCCGAUGACGAGUCUGUCUUCAUCACCCUCUUUCAUGAUCCCAAGUAUAAAGGAAGUGAUCCCAUCUAUCCACCAGAUGGUCUUGGGACGACAUCGCGUCCAACGGCACUGGUGACCCGGAGGCCGGGGUCACUGAGUGCAUCUGCUGUGGCCGCAGGAGACGGGGAUGAGAGCAGCAGGGCUCACGGCAUGAAGCAUCAGCUCCUUUCAAGGUUGGGGACCACCCUUCCUCCAACUGGAAAAGUGUUACCCAGUAACCACAGAGAAUUUUAUUAAAGGAGAAAAGGAUUGAUGUAUUUCCUUUGCUUUUCAGGUCAAGAAGAGAUUCAGCUAAAAAAGGCUUUGCUGAAAUUCCUGGUAAAAUCUGGGGUAUUUUUUUUUUUAAUUUAAAAUUAUGAUGAUCUCAAUGAUAACAUUUUAAAUUGUACUUUAAAAUGCUAAUGGUUAGAAAUAGAUGAAGAGCAAUGGAGAAAAAGAAACCGACAGUUUCUCAAUAAAGACGGCUUUUACUCUAUUUGCAAAACAGGUGUUUAUUCUAAAGGACAAGAAGACAACAUUCUCUGAGAUUCACUCAUGAAUGUUAUACUGUUUUUAACUUUCAAAAACAUGCGUCAGUGCCAAUUUGCAGUGAAACCGAGCCAUUUUUUUUUUUCUGGCCCUGUCCAAACAAUGAGAAACACGUGAGUGCUUUCAAAAAUCACCCUGCCUGUGUUGGUUCUGAAUUCAGAUAAGCAGAAAAAAUAAACCUUUGCUCAAAUGGGAA